rnacentral:rRNA from 1 species
GACGAACGCUGGCGGCGUGCCUAAUACAUGCAAGUAGAACGCUGAAGGAGGAGCUUGCUUCUCCGGAUGAGUUGCGAACGGGUGAGUAACGCGUAGGUAACCUGCCUGGUAGCGGGGGAUAACUAUUGGAAACGAUAGCUAAUACCGCAUAAUAGCAGUUAUUGCAUGAUAACUGUUUGAAAGGUGCAAUUGCACCACUACCAGAUGGACCUGCGUUGUAUUGGCUAGUUGGUGGGGUAACGGCUCACCAAGGCGACGAUACAUAGCCGACCUGAGAGGGUGAUCGGCCACACUGGGACUGAGACACGGCCCAGACUCCUACGGGAGGCAGCAGUAGGGAAUCUUCGGCAAUGGACGGAAGUCUGACCGAGCAACGCCGCGUGAGUGAAGAAGGUUUUCGGAUCGUAAAGCUCUGUUGUAAGAGAAGAACGAGUGUGAGAG